GGGGCUGAGGGGGCCGCGCGCCGCCUCACGCCGGGCCCGCCGGCUCUGCGCCCUCAGGGAAAGGGGAGCGCGGCGCCCUUAUCCGUGGGAAAAAAAAAAAAAAAAAAGGGCUGCGGCGUGUUAGAAAGGGAAGGUUUUUCCUCAUGUUAAACUCCCCGCCGGCUAUAGGUGCCGUUGCACCUGUUGGGCGGGGCCUGAGGGCACCGCACGGCGCGGGGUGGGGCAAGUGAGGAGAUUCGCCCCGGGAAUGCCGCGGGAAGUCCGCUUUCCGCGUUCCUUUAGGUGCGUUCCGCCGUGCGAAAGCGCUUUUGAACUUAAAAGUUACGCUUUCCAGGGACACCAGGGAAGGAGCUGAGACUGGCAGUGGCUAUCAACUGGAGGAAACUCUGGGAGAGGUUUACAGAUGAGAUGUUUCUCAGUCAUGACUUCCAAAGGCUUAGUGCGCUCCUAAGAUCCAAGGAUCCUGUCUUCCAUCAGUUUUUGGAAGCAUCUAAAGGAAAACUGGGAACUGCAGUGCUAUAUGGAGAACAGGCAGGUUUCUCAGCAGGAAGAUUGGCCUCUUUACACUGGAAGACCUCUGUCUGUGGUGUUUGUAUUUCCACUUGUUUUUGACAAGCUGAGUGAAAUAUAUCAGUGUGAGACAUUGGACUUGAGUCCUACCAUGAUUUGGGCCAUUUUGUCUCUGUCUUUGCUCUUCAUGAAGCACUAAUCUUUUGGCCAGUGCUCCUCAGAAGAUGAGAGGGAAAGGAACAGUGCAGACCAAGAAGGUGAAGUAUUUUAAUGUCCUAUAUGGCAUGUUCCUCCUCUGUCUUUAUUACCUGGCUAUGAUAACAACAGAAUUGUUGGGCUCUUCAGACAAUAAUCUGUUUAAAGCUCUUGGAAGGUGCCUGUUUUUAUCAGCAUUAAUUGCUUCCAGUGGGACUAAGCAUUAAUAAAGGUAAGUCUUCGUAUCACCAGGGAAUAAUUAGAACAAAGUGCAAAGGAAAGAGAAGUAGAAUGAAAAUUGUUCUUAUUAUUCUUGUAGUAGCUAAGGAGGAAAUCUUUUUUUUUUUCCGUUUUUCUGUUAGUAAUCAUGUUUACAAAUGUAGGUGGACUGUACUGUGUCCAAGCUCUGAGAAAGAAAAAAGGAAGAGGAAAACACUGCUGUAAAGAACCAGAAAAAUAGAAUAGUUUUUAUGAGAGACCUCAGCAGUUAUUCUUUUACUGGAAUCAUUAAAUCUUCCUGUAACUAAGUGAAAAGCUUGUAGUGUUCAUAUACCCAUCUCUGUAGGAAUUCCUUCCAUAUUUUGUUUAGUAUGCAGAGGUACAGCUUAAGUUGGCCAAUGGUAAGAGACCAUCCUAGGUUUAUUUUUCCUUGGGGACUUCUACACCACACAGGCUUUUUCUUUGACCUUUACAUUUUCUUCUGAGGACAAGGGGUUGGAGUGUGCAGGAGAACCAGAAAUCCCCACCCUGGCUCCGGAGAAAACCUACCCAGCUUUUGAGCAUCAGAAGUCCUAAACAUCUGGGGAUCAUUUGAAACUGUAGCUGCUCACUCGCCAUGGAAGACAUGAAAGAAGCAGUUAAUGUUUCUCUUCUGGAUCACAGGCUGACCUGCUUCCUCUCCAGCCCUUCCUUUGGAAGCAUCACCACUGAUUUAGAAGGGGUAAAAUGAAAUCCUUUGCAGACACCAAAUAAGAUCAAGGACCAUUGUGCUCUCAGACUGGAAGAUGUAACCUUUUGUGAAACAUUUAAAAUCAAAAUACUCUGGACACAUAAAAGAAACAGAUUUUCACCUUCCUAGAAAGGAGAGCAGAAGUGAUCAAUCACUGUUGCCAGGAACACUUUGCCUUUGUCAGCAGAACCUCUGGAAGAGCCCAGGCUAAGAAAAGCCAAAGGAGUCCAAGGCAUUGACAACUUAGAAGCUGUUUUUCAUGCUGCCCUCAUUGCCUCAAGUUUGAUGGUACACUGAAAGGCCAGUGUGGUUCUGACUCGGUCUGGAUGGAUGCCAAACCACAUUUUGGAGGGGUGAGAAAGGCCCAACAUCUGCUUCUGGUGUAACUGUUUGUAUCUUCACUCUAAGAAAAUUAGGUUUGAAAUAAUCUCAAAUUGUCUGACACCUGUAUCCUAUUAGAAGUGACACAUGGAAACACCUUCAGCGCACUGAAUUUAGCACCGUGUCAACAGUUUAAAGUUAACAGGGGAACAAAAGGGUAAAACUCAUUGCUUCCCAGUUCCUGCUGACACAGAGCUUGUGUCAUUGCACGGGAUCACACUGCAGGAUUGAUCCAUAAAUGUAAUGGGGUUUGAACCAGUAAUUGUAAUGUGGGCUGUGUCCCUGGCUCUACUGCAAUUACAUUCAGUGUGCACCUCAAGGUGAUUGGAGGAUUUUGAGCUCAGUGCAGGCUCACCUGAGGGCUGGGUGCCAGCACGUGGGACAGGAACACAGCAUGUCCAGGGACGUUUUUUCCUCAAGUUCAGCUCAAGUAACUUGUAGCUUAUGGGACUAGUGAGCAGGCCACAUUUGUCCCAAGAAAAGGAGACAAAUUCCUGCAAGAGAAGACAAAUCUUGCCUGGCACAGAGGUUUAUUGGGUUUUAGAGAAAAACCAAAAGAAUUCUGAAGUCACACAACUGGUUUUGCUGCAUUGCACAGGAAGGCGCUGAAGGGAUUGAUUUUAAACUCUCUUCCCAAACCUAUGUAACCUCCCACUUGCAAAUUCCUCACUUUUAGGAACAGAUCUGGUCGCCUUUUCCCAGAUAACAUUCUGACAAUAAGACCCAAGUUAUUCUGAGAAGGACAUUUGUUAAAGUUCAUAAAACUUUAUGACUUCUAUAAAAUUUAUACUACCUAAAAAUACAGUAUCCAUUACAAAGACAAAUGUCUACCCAUUCAUUUUUAAACAUGUUCCUUUGAGAACUUUUGAGAGACUGUUUUUUAAUGUUAGUCUGAGAGUAAGGGAAACUGUUUACUUUUUAAAGAGUGUUGUUUUUCAGCAGAUCUGCAUCUUCAAGGAGCGAUGUCUGGAGUCAAGGGAACAGGACACACUGAAUUUUAACAUGAAUUAGGGUAUAGUAAUGAAAAAUAUGCUAAAAACAGGAAAAUGGCAAUAAUGGAAAGACAAACCAAUGACAGUGAUCCAUUUUCUACAGAGCAGAAAGCAAGCAGGACCCAGUAACAAGAAAGCGCGUCAAGUACAAGUUUAGGGUUUUUUUAGGGACAGCCAAGUGAACUUCCUGAAUAGUGUGGCACUAGUGACACUAAAGAAAGGAUAAUACAUAAUAUUUUACAUGCACCCAUAAGCUGAAAAAUAUGAUGGAAAACUUGCAGCACAAUGAAACCUGUUUGAGGUGGAAUUUAUUCUAAGGGCAUUUUAAAGAAAUUUCAAGCCUACUUAUAUUUGUUAUUAAUAUAAAGUGGAGUCCCUUCUAAUUUACUGGUUAAACAAGACAUACACUGCUAAGGUCAAAGUCUCCUAAAAUGCUUUAAAACUAGUAUUGACCAUUUUCUUACCUCAUGCAUGAAAACUGCCUUAUAACUUCAUCCGUAGAUGGCCCCAAUGCAUAAAAACACAACAGAGAAGAAGAAUUUUUGUCAAGCUGAAACAAGUUGCCUCCCAUUGGUACCAUGUAAUGCUUUCUGAUUUAUGGAAAUGUUAUUCAGUUCAUCUUCCUAAAAAUUCACUGGAUUGGAAAAGUAAAAGGGUUGUUCACAUUAUACUUUCAGUGGAAAAUGUUUAUGACAAUAUGAUUAUGGAGAAAAGUGCAAGCAGACCAAAAACAUCAUAAUACAUAAACGGGCAUUUUCAACGCUAUCGAUCUGACUGGUUUGUUCUGAUUUGCUUUCUGAAAGGCUCAAAUUAAAACAACUGAUCCUAUUCACUGACUCAGGAAACUCCUGGUGUUGCUCAGGGCAAUGCAAGUUGAAUCCCAGUUGAGUUGGAAUGAGUUGAUUCCCAGAGUUCAUGUGGAGACUGAGCAGCUCUGCCAGCCCAGCGCGUGCUCAGUGUUCUCAGAACACACUCAGAGUGUGUUUGUCUGGCAGAAGUUACUCAGCAAUUUUGAGCAGCUUGACCACAAUGUGUUAUCACCAACAGAGAUUUUUCUUCACUGAACAUGCAAAUGCAACUUUUUCUGAGAAAAUGUGGUCGUGUUGCUUUCAGACACAAUUUGAGGGCAGAUCGCUCAUAUGCUGACAAUAUGAGCAAAUAUUGAUGUUGGUGUUGUUUGGAGAGCAGUCCCAUAACAUGCUGCAUCUAUCAAACAAUUACCUUGUCAGUAGCUCUUUAAAGUCUGGAAACAUGGAUGUGCACAAGCAGCUCUGUUGAUCCAUGUCAUUCCCCACACCAAUAACUUGCAGCUGGAAACCAAUAACCUAAUUUGUACCUUCUUGGGCCACGAGAUGUUCUGACAAUUUAUUGUGCACAGGAAAUCCAGACUUUGGAAAAUAGUUUUUUGCUGAUUCUCUGUGCUUCUGGUAGACUUUUAUUGCACUCUAAACCAGGGAUUGCAUCGCUUAGCCCAUAAUGUUGAAAUUAUUCUGAAUUUGGUUAUUGGUUUGUGCUGAAGCAGGACUGAACUUCAGUUCAGUACAUAUUCUUCCUGACAUAGAAGGGCUAGAUUUUUAUUAUGGUCAUAUAGAAAAUGUUCCUCAUACUCACCACAAUGAAGUAAUUAAAUAGAUGAACAAGAGAAAUCCAUUGGUUACAUGAAACUUAUUCCUUCACUUCUGUUCUUGCCUUUUUUAAAUGACAACUGUGUGGAACGAGGAUCCUGCUCCUCAGUAACAAAACAGCCAACAUUAACUUGUCACUCUAGUAGGAAAAACAACAGCCAAAAUGCUGGGAACCACAUCAUGUCAUUUGCUCUGUUAUGGAGUGUUUGGAUAGAAACUGUGAAGUUGCCACUUUUUACAGCUUUUGAGGAUUUAUGAAGAAAACCCCCACUAGUGACUUGUCCAAAUUUUGAUAACAGAAAGAACAGCAGACUUAAGGGGGCAUUACCUUAUUUUUACAAGAGUGUAAAGGAACACAGACCCAGGGCUCUGUCAGUCCUAGUAACAGUGGGGGUUUCCAGUGUCACAGUUUCACUAAAUUGAGUUUAGAUGUGCUUUCCAAAUGAAGCAGUUACAAAGUGCUCCAGAGCCAUCCCUGCCUGCAGCAGCUUGUUGGAUCCUACCUGGAGAUAAUGGAUUGACACUGUUACUGACUUGGCCAAGAGCUCGAGGUCAUUCCCCCUCCCCGUGCAGGUGAUGUACAGCAGCGCUCGGCUCCGCUGAUGGGCUCAUCCUUCUCGGAGGCACUGACCAAUGUGAGCAGCUGCCUGAGGGGCUGUUUGAUCUUCCCACUGCUUUGCAGGCAACACCACACUGCUCAGGGGGGAAAAAAAGAACCGAAAAAGGAAAAAGAUUAGAAAAGAUUUCUCAGCAAACGUAGCCGAGCCGUGCCUGACCUCCAUAUCUUUGCUUGUUCCCCAAAGGCAGCACAUGUAAGAUAUUUCCUGUCUUUCAUGUUACUGACUGGAAUGCAUCAUGAAGCCCAAAUUUGCAACCUGCUGUCUGUUUUAGUCAUUAGGCAUGACUUUCUUUGUCUCCUGAUGUGAGCUGAAGCCAACUGCUCACUGUUGUAAUGCACAAUUUUUUCAAUAUUCUCCCCCUCUCCUAGACAAACAAAACAAAAAAACCCAGCCAGGCCAAAAGCUGAAAUUCAGUCAUCAACUGAGGCUGCUGUGUCUUAAAGUAUCUUAUUCCCACAUCAGCACAUCCCACCCUGCUCUAGACCACCAAAACAUUAGUCACAGCAGCCUCCACCUGUUAUUCAGGGGCCAAAAUUCAAAAGUUAAUGAACAACAAUUACAAGCAGCCCCUAGAUUUCAAAAGAGCUUAUCUGACAACCUGAAAGGUGGAGUUCACUGGCUGCAGCUUGGUGCUACAUUCACUCAUCUGUCAGUAACAUCAAGCAUUGGGAUCUUUAUAUUAUUUUUUACAAUUACAUCCACUCUGCAGAGAUACACCAUAAGAUAUUCAACUACUCUUUGCCAGCUGCUGCAUCUUGGAAUACUAUUCACAAAACAAACAGUUACUCGGUAUUUCAACAUCUGACCAUCUUAAAAAUCAACUGAAGACAACUUAGAAGGACAAUAAAAUAUACAUAGCAUGUAAAAUGCAGGUCUGCUGUGUUUUGAUGCCCACAAGUGGCACACGAGUACUGGUUAUGACUUUGCUCCACUAAUAUGAUAUAUAUAUAUUUUCAAUAUAUGUGUUUAAAAUAAAAGAAACUCUUAAACCC